rfam:Bacillus sp. CHD6a contig17, whole genome shotgun sequence.
GGAGGAUUAGCUCAGCUGGGAGAGCACCUGCCUUACAAGCAGGGGGUCGGCGGUUCGAUCCCGUCAUCCUCCA